CGUGUAGGCGGCCAGGUAGGUCUGCUGUGAAAACUCGAGGCUUAACCUCGAGACGUCGGCGGAAACCAUCUGGCUAGAGUCCGGAAGAGGAGAGUGGAAUUCCUGGUGUAGCGGUGAAAUGCGCAGAUAUCAGGAAGAACACCCGUGGCGAAGGCGGCUCUCUGGGACGGUACUGACGCUGAGACGCGAAAGCGUGGGGAGCGAACA
rnacentral:rRNA from 1 species